rnacentral:misc_RNA from 1 species
AAUCGAGAGCGUCUUCAUUGACCUCUCACCCUUCACAUCCACAUACACCUGUGCACCGUUUGGCUCUUAUAAAAGACGCAAGUCUGCAAUGAGAGUCAUCAAUUUUAUACAUACCCCAGUCUUAUGAAUGUAAAAGUUUUAAUAAACAUAAUAAAACUUUUAACAACGGAUCUCUUGGUUCUCGCAUCGAUAAUAACGCAGCCAACAUAAUAAGCAAUACAACUUUUAACAAUGGAUCUCUAGGCUCUUGCAUCGAUGAAGAACGCAGC